GCGCUGGCUUCACAGCACAUAUACUAAAACUGGAACACCACAGAGAAGAUUAGCAUGGCCCUUAUGCAAGAAUGACACCCUGAUUCAUGAAGUAUUCCAUAUUUGA
rnacentral:snRNA from 1 species